rnacentral:rRNA from 1 species
AAAGGAAUAGACGGGGGCCCGCACAAGCGGUGGAGCAUGUGGUUUAAUUCGAUGAUACGCGAGGAACCUUACCAGGGCUUAAAUGUAGUCUGACAGGAUUGGAAACAGUCUUUUCUUCGGACAGAUUACAAGGUGCUGCAUGGUUGUCGUCAGCUCGUGCCGUGAGGUGUCAGGUUAAGUCCUAUAACGAGCGCAACCCCUGUUGUUAGUUGCCAGCGAGUCAAGUCGGGAACUCUAACAAGACUGCCGGUGCAAACCGUGAGGAAGGUGGGGAUGACGUCAAAUCAUCACGGCCCUUACGUCCUGGGCCACACACGUGCUACAAUGGCAGGUACAAUGGGCAGCCACUACGCAAGUAGGAGCGAAUCCACAAAACCUGUCUCAGUUCGGAUCGGGGUCUGCAACUCGACCCCGUGAAGCUGGAAUCGCUAGUAAUCGGAUAUCAGCCAUGAUCCGGUGAAUACGUUCCCGGGCCUUGUACACACCGCCCGU